rnacentral:rRNA from 1 species
CUACGGGAGGCAGCAGUGGGGAAUCUUAGACAAUGGGGGCAACCCUGAUCUAGCCAUGCCGCGUGAGUGAUGAAGGCCUUAGGGUCGUAAAGCUCUUUCGCCAGGGAUGAUAAUGACAGUACCUGGUAAAGAAACCCCGGCUAACUCCGUGCCAGCAGCCGCGGUAAUACGGAGGGGGUUAGCGUUGUUCGGAAUUACUGGGCGUAAAGCGCGCGUAGGCGGACUAUUAAGUCGGGGGUGAAAUCCCGGGGCUCAACCCCGGAACUGCCUCCAAAACUGCUAGUCUAGAGUUCGAGAGAGGUGAGUGGAAUUCCGAGUGUAGAGGUGAAAUUCGUAGAUAUUCGGAGGAACACCAGUGGCGAAGGCGGCUCACUGGCUCGAUACUGACGCUGAGGUGCGAAAGUGUGGGGAGCAAACAGGAUUAGAUACCCUGGUAGUCCACACCGUAAACGAUGAAUGCCAGUCGUCGGAUAGUAUACUAUUCGGUGACACACCUAACGGAUUAAGCAUUCCGCCUGGGGAGUACGGUCGCAAGAUUAAAACUCAAAG